AGUGAACGCUGGCGGCGUGCCUAAUACAUGAAAGUCGAACGGAGUGGCGCACGGGUGAGUAAUGUAUUGCUAAUCUGCCCUACACUAGAGGACAACAGUUGGCAACGACUGCUAAUACUCUAUAGUGUAGGAUGAGGCUAUAUUGUAUCAGCUAGUUGGUGAGGUAAUGGCUCACAAAGGCUAUGACGCAUAACUGGUCGGAGAGGAUGAUCAGUCACACUGGAAGUGAGACACGGUCAAGACGCCUACGGGAGGAAGCAGUAGGGAAUCUUGCUCAAUGGGGGAAACCCUGAGGAAGCAACGCCGCGUGGAGGAUGAAACUUUACAGAGCGUAAAAUCAUUAUGUUAGGGAAGCGGUACCUAACGAAUAAGCACCGGCUAACUCCGUGCCAGCAGCCGCGGUAAUAG
rnacentral:rRNA from 1 species